AUACGGAAGGUGCGAGCGUUAAUCGGAAUUACUGGGCGUAAAGGGUUCGUAGGCUGCCAAGUCAGUCGGAUGUGAAAGCCCCGGGCUUAACCUGGGAAUGCCAUUCGAUACUGCUUGGCUAGAGUAUGACAGAGGAAAGCGGAAUUCCGCAUGUAGCGGUGAAAUGCGUAGAUAUGCGGAAGAACACCAACGGCGAAGGCAGCUUUCUGGAUCAAUACUGACGCUGAGGAACGAAAGCGUGGGGAGCAAACAGGAUUAGAAACCCCGGUAGUCC
rnacentral:rRNA from 1 species